rnacentral:ncRNA from 2 species
UUUUCCGAGGAGCGUUGCAGCGUCCCCAGCACGGCGGGGCGCGAGGCUCGGAAUGAUUCAUUUGCAACGACGCUCACCCACG